AGUGAACGCUGGCGGUAGGCCUAACACAUGCAAGUCGAACGGCAGCACAGAGGAGCUUGCUCCUUGGGUGGCGAGUGGCGGACGGGUAAGGAAUACAUCGGAAUCUACUCUGUCGUGGGGGAUAACGUAGGGAAACUUACGCUAAUACCGCAUACGACCUACGGGUGAAAGCAGGGGAUCUUCGGACCUUGCGCGAUUGAAUGAGCCGAUGUCGGAUUAGCUAGUUGGCGGGGUAAGGGCCCACCAAGGCGACGAUCCGUAGCUGGUCUGAGAGGAUGAGCAGCCACACUGGAACUGAGACACGGUCCAGACUCCUACGGGGGGCAGCAGUGGGGAAUAUUGGACAAUGGGCGCAAGCCUGAUCCAGCCAUACCGCGUGGGUGAAGAAGGCCUUCGGGUUGUAAAGCCCUUUUGUUGGGAAAGAAAUCCAUCUGGUUAAUACCCGGGUGGGAUGACGGUACCCAAAGAAUAAGCACCGGCUAACUUCGUGCCAGCCGCCGCCGUAA
rnacentral:rRNA from 1 species